rnacentral:rRNA from 1 species
UACGAAGGGGGCUAGCGUUGCUCGGAAUUACUGGGCGUAAAGGGCGCGUAGGCGGACAGUUAAGUCAGAGGUGAAAGCCCAGGGCUCAACCCUGGAAUUGCCUUUGAUACUGGCUGUCUUGAGUACGGGAGAGGUGAGUGGAACUCCGAGUGUAGAGGUGAAAUUCGUAGAUAUUCGGAAGAACACCAGUGGCGAAGGCGACACACUGGCCCGUUACUGACGCUGAGGCGCGAAAGCGUGGGGAGCAAACAGG